UACGUAGGGGGCAAGCGUUGUUCGGAUUUACUGGGCGUAAAGGGCGCGUAGGCGGCGGGUAAAGUCGGACAUGAAAUCAGUGGGCUUAACCCGAUGGCUGUGCCCGAUACUGGCGUGCUUAGAGUGCGGGAGAGGCAAUCGGAAUUCUCGGUGUAGCGGUGAAAUGCGUAGAUAUCGGGAGGAACCCCGGUGACGAAGGUGGGUUGCUGGACCGACACUGACGCUGAGGCGCGAAAGCUAGGGGAGCAAACGGG
rnacentral:rRNA from 1 species